rnacentral:rRNA from 1 species
UACAGAGGUCCCAAGCGUUGUUCGGAUUUACUGGGCGUAAAGGGUGCGUAGGUGGUCGGGUAAGUCUCAUGUGAAAUCUCCAAGCUUAACUUGGAAAUGGCAUGGGAUACUAUUCGGCUAGAGGAUUGGAGGGGGGACUGGAAUUCCCGGUGUAGCAGUGAAAUGCGUAGAUAUCGGGAGGAACACCAGUGGCGAAGGCGAGUCCCUGGACAAUUCCUGACGCUGAGGCACGAAGGUCAGGGGAGCAAACGGG